CGGAAAUGAUUUAGACAGUAUUUUUUCCGAUCUAGCAGCGUGUUGUAGAAUUAAAUUCAUCGCUCCUUCACAAUAAUGGCCGCGUCUAUAUCUUGAAACCACUCAUCGGGACUGACGACCAAAUGCAGUUCGCUACACUCAAAAGGGAGCACAUAUGCAGCAAUGUGGAU